rnacentral:rRNA from 1 species
UACGGGGGGGGCAAGCGUUGUUCGGAAUUACUGGGCGUAAAGGGCGCGUAGGCGGCCUUCUAAGUCGAACGUGAAAUCCCUGGGCUCAACCAGGAACUGCGUCCGAUACUGGAAGGCUUGAAUCCGGGAGAGGGAUGCGGAAUUCCAGGUGUAGCGGUGAAAUGCGUAGAUAUCUGGAGGAACACCGGUGGCGAAGGCGGCAUCCUGGACCGGUAUUGACGCUGAGGCGCGAAAGCCAGGGGAGCAAACGGG